CUGAGAUUUGUCCAGACCUCUCCAACCCCUUGUUGACCAUACCACUGUUGCCUUGGCGGAGUCCCUAGCCCCGCUUCCGGUAAACGGGACGGCCGCCAGAGGACCCUCAACAACUCUGAUUUCUAUGUAACUUUCUGAGUACAACAUUAAAUUAAUUAA
rnacentral:misc_RNA from 1 species